UACGUAGGGGGCGAGCGUUGUCCGGAUUUACUGGGCGUAAAGCGCGUGUAGGCGGCGGCUUAAGUCGGGUGUGAAAACCCGGGGCUCAACUCCGGGCCUGCAGCCGAUACGGGCAGACUAGAGUUCGGCAGGGGAGACUGGAAUUCCUGGUGUAGCGGUGAAAUGCGCAGAUAUCAGGAGGAACACCGGUGGCGAAGGCGGGUCUCUGGGCCGAUACUGACGCUGAGGAGCGAAAGCGUGGGGAGCGAACAGG
rnacentral:rRNA from 1 species